rnacentral:lncRNA from 1 species
UUCCAGGAGGCUGUUGCGCGGGCUGGCCACCAGGUGGCACUGUUGCAUAGCAAAAGGAACGCGGCUCCGCGCUGGAGAACCGGGCCGGGCUGCGCGGAAGCCCUGGAGGGCCAGCCGGGUGGAGGGAGCUGCAGGAGGGGGCGGCGUGCUUUCCGGGGGUGCAACUUGGUUUUCCCUGGAGGGAUAAAGCUCUCCUUUGGCAGGUGCCUGGGGGUGCCCUUUAAAGCAGGGAGCCCAGGGAAGACCCAGCUCUCUUCCUGUGAGCUCAUCCCUGGCAUUCAGGGUGAAGGACCUGCAGCCUGGUCUCGGAAACGGCCCUCCAAGGCCUCCUUGUCCCCUGAAGCACACAGGCAGACCGCGGGUCGGGGUGCACCGUGGCUGUCCCUUCCCUCCAAUGCUGGGCGACCCGGGCGGGUGGCCACCGCCUGACCUGGGCCUCCUGGCUGCCAGCCUGCACGCCCUGGGUGCAGAGGCAGGCGAGCCUGGCCUGGUCUGAACAGUCUUAUGAGGAUUCUCUGGGCCCGUGUGCUCCCGCCUGCCCCUGAAGGGCGUAGUGGAAGCAUCCGAACAUGCACUGGGUACCCUCGUGGCCUGGGACAGCCCUUCCCUGCUGGGCUCCUUGCUUUGUGUUAACCCUGAGGCCUGGGAGCCUGAGUUGGGGAAACGGGGGACUCCAGACAACACCCAGCUUGGAUGCCGGCGUCCACUUCUGCUCAGAGAAUCCAGUCAACUCAGGGCUUUGGGCUUUCCCAUGACCAAAGAAAAGAAGUCAGUGAAUGAGAAUCAA